UGCUUUGGUUGUAUGUGAAUUCUCCAGUGGGCUUAUAUGUUAAAGGAGCAGAGUGUUUCACCGCCCUGCAUGACUGACGUGGAUAGAAGCAGGUGGGGAAUGGCUCUUGAAGUUUAGGGAGGCAGUUAUAAGAGAGAGCUGCCCAGGUCAUGUUUCCUCAGUGUGUGACUAUUGAACGAUCGCAUCACAGACUCUCUUCUGCAGCUCAGACCUGGAAAGACCUCGGUGCUAUUUCACAAGAAGGUGAGGAGGAUGGAGAUGAAGAGUUUUCUAGCCCUGCUCUACGUAAUUUCAGCAUGUGGAGCUCAGAAAUGGAAACAAGAUACAUCAGGUGAAUACUGGCCAACAUAUGCUUGUUAAUGUAUGUGUUCAGCAGAACACACCAACGGCAAGACUUGCUCCAACCUGACUCAGGUACUGGACAACUGGAAAUUUGCUAUUCUAGCCCAGGUGAAGGACCUGCUGAUCAACGACCACGGGUCUGUUCUCCCUGAAUACAACAGGAUCCAGCCUCUUUCAAAUGCUCUGGGAGAUCUCUACCAGCAGUUUAAUUCGCUAAAAGACGAGCUGGGGAAGUUGACCUCAAAGUUUGAUGGAAUGGAAGGUUUUGUGGACGAUCUCAAGGAUGGCAGAUUCACCCCACCUCAGCGCCAAAUACAGAAGCUCCCACCAAGGUUUGGUCUGAGGUCUCCACUGCAAGCACAGAUAAGAGCUCCUGAAAGAAAGAUUAUCCCUGCACCUGCACUGAUCAGAGCGAGGAGGAGAGGUUCACAGAGACCUUAGACCUGUUGCAGAUUGCCUUCUGCCUGGAUGUUGAUGUGCAAACAAAGGCUGAUUUGUUUAAAUAAAGAAUAUUUUAUGGAAGACAAAUAUAUUAUUUUAUUGAUGAGAAUAAAUCGCAAAAAGUGUACUCCACUCAUCCAUGGUCUGGAAAUUUAAAAUUAAUUUGACUUGAGCUUCCUGUAAACAAUAGUAAUCAUGUUUAACUUUAUUAAUCCCUCAUGGUUAAAUUCUCUCUCUGCGUUUGACCCAUCCAUUCAUUCGCACGCUAGUAUAUACAUGUAGGUGCUUGCUUAAGGCAUCUCAGACAUUAACAUGGGUGGGCAGGGGAUGCAAACCUGUGACCCUUCAGGUCCCAGAGCUGCUUCUCUAACCAUUAGAGCUCCCUUAAGAGUCACAUUCAACCACAAGAUGGCAGGAUUAUCAAACUGCUGUUUUAUGUACAUCAACACAGUGGCUUAUAAAGUCACAUAAUGGUUAAAAAUUGAGUCUUGAACUGUAGAUCAGUAUACAGACACUUGGUAAACAUUAUUUAACAUUGUGUGUUUUGUAUGUUUCAUUUGUCUACCCAAGUAAUUAUUAUAAAAAAUUCAUGUACAAUUUAAAUGAAUUUGAUAUAUGGAAUGCACAGUAUGCUAUACGCCAUCCCUUCACAUGUAUACCAGUGAACAAGGGAUCGAACACCAAUCCUAUGAUCAAUGAGAAGCGCUAACUAUAACUGCAAGAGGAACACAUUGAGGAAUGAGUUUUAAACUACGUAAUGCAUGGCUAAGAGAUCGAUUCAGAUGUGUUUCGUUGUUACUUCCCAUCAACAGCAUUUCAUAUUAAAAUCAACAAAAUCGAAAGAAA